UAGAGUUUGAUCCUGGCUCAGGAUGAACGCUAGCUACAGGCUUAACACAUGCAAGUCGAGGGGCAGCAUGUUGGUUGCUUGCAACCGAUGAUGGCGACCGGCGCACGGGUGAGUAACGCGUAUCCAACCUACCCUUGUCCAUCGGAUAACCCGUCGAAAGGCGGCCUAACACGAUAUGCGGUUCACCGCAGGCAUCUAACGUGAACGAAAUGUGAAGGAGAAGGAUGGGGAUGCGUCUGAUUAGCUUGUUGGCGGGGUAACGGCCCACCAAGGCUACGAUCAGUAGGGGUUCUGAGAGGAAGGUCCCCCACAUUGGAACUGAGACACGGUCCAAACUCCUACGGGAGGCAGCAGUGAGGAAUAUUGGUCAAUGGACGAGAGUCUGAACCAGCCAAGUAGCGUGCAGGAUGACGGCCCUAUGGGUUGUAAACUGCUUUUAUAGGGGGAUAAAGUGUGCCACGUGUGGCAUAUUGCAGGUACCCUAUGAAUAAGGACCGGCUAAUUCCGUGCCAGCAGCCGCGGUAAUACGGAAGGUCCAGGCGUUAUCCGGAUUUAUUGGGUUUAAAGGGAGCGCAGGCGGACCUUUAAGUCAGCUGUGAAAUACGGCGGCUCAACCGUCGAACUGCAGUUGAUACUGGAGGUCUUGAGUGCACACAGGGAUACUGGAAUUCAUGGUGUAGCGGUGAAAUGCUCAGAUAUCAUGAAGAACUCCGAUCGCGAAGGCAGGUAUCCGGGGUGCAACUGACGCUGAGGCUCGAAAGUGCGGGUAUCAAACAGGAUUAGAUACCCUGGUAGUCCGCACAGUAAACGAUGAAUACUCGCGAUUUGCGAUACACAGUAAGUCGCCAAGCGAAAGCGUUAAGUAUUCCACCUGGGGAGUACGCCGGCA
rnacentral:rRNA from 1 species